rnacentral:rRNA from 1 species
UGGGGAAUAUUGCACAAUGGGGGAAACCCUGAUGCAGCGACGCCGCGUGAACGAAGAAGGUAUUCGUAUCGUAAAGUUCUGUCCUAUGGGAAGAUAAUGACAGUACCAUAGAAGAAAGCUCCUGCUAAAUACGUGCCAGCAGCCGCGGUAAUACGUAUGGAGCGAGCGUUGUCCGGAAUUAUUGGGCGUAAAGGGUACGCAGGCGGUUUAAUAAGUCGAAUGUUAAAGAUCGGGGCUCAACCCCGUAAAGCAUUGGAAACUGAUAAACUUGAGUAGUGGAGAGGAAAGUGGAAUUCCUAGUGUAGUGGUGAAAUACGUAGAUAUUAGGAGGAAUACCAGUAGCGAAGGCGACUUUCUGGACACAAACUGACGCUGAGGUACGAAAGCGUGGGGAGCAAACAGG